ACUGAAUAGAUACCCUGGUAGUCCACGCCGUAAACGAUGGAUGCUAGAUGUCUCUGGUAUUGACCCCGGAGGUGUCGUAGCUAACGCGUUAAGCAUCCCGCCUGGGGAGUACGGCCGCGAGGCUAAAACUCAAAGGAAUUGACGGGGGCCCGGCACAAGCGGUGGAGCAUGUGGUUUAAUUUACGACGCAACGCGAAGAACCUUACCUGGGUUGGUAACCCCUCCAGAAGUCCGCAGAGAUGUGGAUGUGCCCGCAAGGGAACGUGAGUGUCCAGGUGCUGCAUGGCUGUCGUCAGCUCGUGUCGUGAGAUGUUGGGUUAAGUCCCGCAACGAGCGCAACCCUUGUCGUUAGUUGCCAACGGUUCGGCCGGGCACUCUAACGAGACUGCCGGUGUUAAACCGGAGGAAGGUGGGGAUGACGUCAAGUCCUCAUGGCCCUUAUGCCCAGGGCUACACACGUGCUACAAUGGCCGGUACAAAGGGUCGCAAGCCCGCGAGGGAAGCCAAUCCCAAAAAAACCGGGCCUCAGUUCAGAUUGCAGUCUGCAACUCG
rnacentral:rRNA from 1 species